AGGAAGUGGAAAAGGAACUAGGAUUCGGAGUAUGUUUGGCUUUGGCUCCGCCCCAGCCUCCUGACGUUCAAGUCAUGUUUUCUGAGGAUCUCUGGAGCUGCUAUGUUGAGAACAGCAUGAAGGGGCCAACAGCAUAAGUUGGGAGAGACAGGAGGCUACUGCAGUAGUCCAGGCUAGAGGUGAUGGUGGCUUGGACCAGAAGGGGGUCGGAUUCUGGAUGUAUUCUGAAGGCAGAGUCGGCUGCAUUUACUGAUUGGAUAAGCGUGAGAGCUGGUCCUGCUACCAGGUGUCCUGGAAACCCAGAGCGUUGAUGGGGAGGCCAGGGAAGCACAACAAGAUGUUGCCCACAACCAUCCUGAGGUCUGAUCUGGAUGAGCAUUGCCUCUCUACCACCUGCCAUCACAUGCAUGGAGAUCACAGACUUACCAUGUCUUGAUUGUAUAAAAAGUACAAGUGACUUCAGAUCUGAUGAAUCCUGAGUGGCGUGGAGGGACAAGGGAAUAUUGUAUCUGAAGAAGCCGGAUGAUUGGUUGUGUUCAGAUUGUAAAGGAAUUGCCAGAACUGGAGGAGCCUUUAGGGACCUUACAGUUGAAGCCCUUUGUUUCUGUGAGUGAGAGGAAAGGCCAUAUGAGGACACAGCAAGGAGGUGGUGGUCGCCUGCAAGCCAGGAAGAGAGCUCUCACCAGAAACUGACCAUGCUGGCACCCUGACCUUGGACUUAACCAGCCAACAAAACUCUUAAAACACCUGGACUGUUUUCAGUUUGCCUGACCAACCUCUACCUGAUAUCACCACUGACCUGCUUUGAGACCUGGAGCAAGACGCUUUACCUCUUUGAACCUCAGUUUCCUCAUCUGUGAAAUGGGCAUAAUGACUCAUAGAACCCCUCCAAGGGUAAACAAAUAAUGCAUGUAAAGUUUCCAACACAAAGUAGGGGCACAGUAAUGUUAGUAUUUUGUUUGCACAGUCUGUCCCACCCCUCCUGCCUUUAGAGAUUUCUUGACUCUCAUCUUUUAGGUCCAGGAUUCUUCCUUUUUUUUCUUUAAUUGAUUACAAAUCUAGGUGCCUUUGGGUGAGCUCCUGCUGCCUGCCAUUUUGAUUAUACUUGGUGCUGCCUCCAGUCCCAGUGUUCUGCGUUUUUGAGCACAUAUUUAUCACCUGUCUUUCGUGACAAGGAUGAUUGAUUUCUGCCAGAUUUUAUGGUUAUUAGCUGGAGACCUUGUCCUGAGAGACUCCAUCAGAACUUUCUUUAUGCGCAUCUCUCCAAGUCAUUUUUAACUCUGUCUGAUUCAUUUGUCUCCUUCCUAAAUGUAGCAAGUAAGCUCCUGGCCAAAGGAACAGUCUUCCAAGAGGAAAGUGGUUUUUUUUAUAAGUCCUAGUCUACUUAUAGGAACCCACCUGCUGUUAUUCUCAUCUUUGAAUCUGAAAAGGCUCAGCAGCCAGCCCUCUUGGUCUGUGGGGUGGAGUGGAUGAUGCAAGUGAUGGGAUCUAGUGGUCCCAGCUCUGCCUCAACUGCCUGAGGGGCCUUAGGCCGGGAACUACCUCCCCUGGACCUUGGUUUCCUCCCUCCUAGCAUCGGUAGGUCAAGUCUCUGAAGGCGCUCCCAGCUCUGACAUUGAAUGAGCGGUGGCUGCCAGUUGCCUUCCCCAGGUUCCCCUCCGUGGCUGACGCCAGUGAAGCCUACUGAUUCUCAGACGUUGCUCUUCCUGCCUCAUGCUGAUCCCUCUAAUGGGCAUGGGGUGGAUUCUCCAAAGAUUGUUCCCUGAACACCCGAGGCACGGGUGACAAACAGACCCAUUCUGUGAUCUCUUGCUGUGGACCAUGGGCAAAUUUCAAUUGAAUUUACUUCUAUAAUCAUUUAUUGAGUGCCUCAGGUGUGCCAGAUGCAGGGCUCUGUGAGAGGAUGCGGAGCGUUUGUUAGUUAGGAGAGACGGACAUGCAGUGGUGCUUCAGCACCAUUUGAUGAGUGGCAGCCACAAGGCCCUGACUCACCAGUGCCGAGGUCCAUCCAAUCAGACCUGCUGCUGGCCAGGACACCGGACCAGUGCAUGUUGAUUGACUGCCAGCUCAGUGAAGGGACAAUGAAAACGCGAUGUGAUAAGUGCGCUUACAGAGGGGAGUUCAAGUAUCCUAGAAGCACAGAGCAGGCACCAAACUCAAGUUUUGAGAGGAGCCAUUGUGGUGAGCUUCUAGAGGGAGAGAACAUCUGAGCUGAGUCUUGAAGGGUGAGAGAGGGCUGGACAGGGGAGGUAAGAGAAGGGAAGGAGUCUGGAGAAGAAAGAUCAUGAACAAGGCAAGAAGGGUCAGACAGCAGGUGGGGAGGGGAUCAAGGUGCUGCUAGAGUGCAGAGUUCAAGGAUGGAAACUGUGAGAUGAGGCUGCAGAGAAUAGGUAGGAUCCAAGUGCACAGGUCCUUGAACUGGACUGAUAUGAAAUUUAGAUUAGAGAAUCAAUAUAGCACACAGUUAGGUGAUCUUACGAGCAAUACUGCUUGAGUUUGAGGACUAGUUCCGCUAUUUACUAGCCAUGUGACCUUGGGAAAGUUUGUCAGUCCCUCUGGGCUUUAGUUCUUCAUCUAUAAAAUGGGCGUAUAGUACCUUCCUUCUAGGGUUAUGGUUAAAAUUAAAUUGAUUAGACUUGAAAAAGACUUAGAAAAAUGCCUGGCAUAGGUAAGUGCUCACUAAAUGCUGACGCUUAUUCUUAUAUUUCAUUGAUUCCAAGAUGCACAUUUUUCUUCUGUAGUCUCACAUCUCUAAACUUUGGAUGUGACUUAUGGUGGAUGUGACUUUACAAUCACUGCCAACCAGGCAGCAGAUGUGACAGGGUUAUCUUCUUUUUUUAUUAUUAAAGUUUAUUAGUUUCAGGUGUAUAACAUAGUGAUUCAAUAUUUUUAUAGAUUAUACUCCAUUUAAAGUUCUUA